rnacentral:misc_RNA from 1 species
UCGUAACAAGGUUUCCGUAGGUGAACCUGCGGAAGGAUCAUUACAGAAUGAAAAGUGCUUAACUGCAUUUUUUCUUACACAUGUGUUUUUCUUUUUUUGAAAACUUUGCUUUGGUAGGCCUUCUAUAUGGGGCCUGCCAGAGAUUAAACUCAACCAAAUUUUAUUUAAUGUCAACCGAUUAUUUAAUAGUCAAAACUUUCAACAACGGAUCUCUUGGUUCUCGCAUCGAUGAAGAACGCAGCGAAAUGCGAUAAGUAAUAUGAAUUGCAGAUAUUCGUGAAUCAUCGAAUCUUUGAACGCACAUUGCGCCCUUUGGUAUUCCAAAGGGCAUGCCUGUUUGAGCGUCAUUUCUCCCUCAAACCCUCGGGUUUGGUGUUGAGCGAUACGCUGGGUUUGCUUGAAAGAAAGGCGGAGUAUAAACUAAUGGAUAGGUUUUUUCCACUCAUUGGUACAAACUCCAAAACUUCUUCCAAAUUCGACCUCAAAUCAGGUAGGACUACCCGCUGAACUUAAGCAUAUCAAUAA